UACGGGGGGGGGCAAGCGUUGUUCGGAAUUACUGGGCGUAAAGGGUUCGUAGGUGGCUCGCUAAGUCAGACGUGAAAUCCCUCGGCUUAACCGGGGAACUGCGUCUGAUACUGGUUGGCUUGAAUCCGGGAGAGGGAUGCGGAAUUCCAGGUGUAGCGGUGAAAUGCGUAGAUAUCUGGAGGAACACCGGUGGCGAAGGCGGCAUCCUGGACCGGCAUUGACGCUGAGGCGCGAAAGCUAGGGGGAGCAAACGGG
rnacentral:rRNA from 1 species